GACGGAGGAUGCAAGCGUUAUCCGGAAUGAUUGGGCGUAAAGCGUCCGCAGGUGGCAGUUCAAGUCUGCUGUCAAAGACCGGGGCUUAACUUCGGAAAGGCAGUGGAAACUGAACAGCUAGAGUAUGGUAGGGGCAGAGGGAAUUCCUGGUGUAGCGGUGAAAUGCGUAGAGAUCAGGAAGAACAUCGGUGGCGAAGGCAGCUCGCUGGGACGUGACUGACGCUGAGACGCGAAAGCGUGGGGAGCAAACAGG
rnacentral:rRNA from 1 species